GCAAUGGUGCGAACAAUGGGCUGUAACUCCGAAAGGAGAAACCAAUCCCGAAAUCGCAUCUCAGUGGGGAUUGUCGACUGUAACCCGUUGACAUGAACGUGGAAUCCCUAGUAAUCGCGUGUCAUCAACACGCGGUGAAUACGUCUCUGCUCCUUGCACACACCGCCCGUCGCUCCACCCGAGUAUACUAAAAAUGAGGCAUGGUCAGUCUGGUUAUGUCGAGUUUCUAGUAUGCGAGGAGGGAGAAGUCGUAACAAGGUAGCCGUAGGGGAACCUGCGGCUGGAUCACCUCCU
rnacentral:rRNA from 1 species